rnacentral:rRNA from 1 species
AACGAACGCUGGCGGCGUGGAUUAGGCAUGCAAGUCGAACGCGAAAGGGGACUUCGGUCCCUGAGUAGAGUGGCGAACGGGUGAGUAACACGUGGGCAAUCUGCCCUCGAGCGGGGGAUAACGUUUCUAACGAGACGCUAAUACCGCAUAACAUCUCCGGGUCACAUGGCCUGGCGAUCAAAGGUGCCUCUACAUGUAAGCUGCCGCUUGGAGGAGGAGCCCGCGGCCUAUACCUAGUUGGUGGGGUAACGGCCCACCAAGGGGACGAUGGGUAGCCGGCCUGAGAGGGUGUCCGGCCACACUGGGACUGAGACACGGCCCAGACUCCUACGGGAGGCUGCAGUCGAGAGGC